rnacentral:rRNA from 1 species
AUUGAACGCUGGCGGCAUGCCUAACACAUGCAAGUCGAACGAGUGGCAGACGGGUGUGUAAUGCAUGGGAAUCCCCCAUGUAGUCUAGGAUAAAUACCAGAAAGGGUGGCUUAUCCUGGAUGAUAAGAGAUGAGCCUAUGUGGGAUUAGCUAGUGGGUGGGGUAAUGGCUCACCAAGGCGACGAUCUCUAGCUGGUCUGAGAGGAUGACCAGCCACACUGGGACUGAGACACGGUCCAGACUCCUACGGGAGGCAGCAGUGGGGAAUAUUGCGCAAUGGGCGCAAGCCUGACGCAGCCAUGCCGCGUGAAUGAAGAAGGCCUUCGGGUUGUAAAGUUCUUUCAGUAGGGAGACGUUAACUACAGAAGAAGCACCGGCUAACUCCGUGCCAGCAGCCGCGGUAAUUC